rnacentral:rRNA from 1 species
CCUACGGUAGGCAGCAGUGGGGAAUAUUGGGCAAUGGGCGCAAGCCUGACCCAGCAACGCCGCGUGAAGGAAGAAGGCUUUCGGGUUGUAAACUUCUUUUCUGAGGGACGAAGAAAGUGACGGUACCUCAGGAAUAAGCCACGGCUAACUACGUGCCAGAAGCCGCGGUAAGCCGUAGGUGGCAAGCGUUAUCCGGAUUUAUUGGGUGUAAAGGGCGGGUAGGCGGGAAAGCAAGUCAGAUGUGAAAACUCAGGGCUCAACCCUGAGCCUGCAUUUGAAACUGUUUUUCUUGAGUGCUGGAGAGGCAAUCGGAAUUCCGGGUGUAGCGGUGAAAUGCGUAGAUAUACGGAGGAACACCAGUGGCGAAGGCGGAUUGCUGGACAGUAACUGACGCUGAGGCGCGAAAGCGUGGGGAGCAAACAGGAUUAGAUACCCCAGUAGUC